AUUGAACGCUGGCGGCAUGCUUUACACAUGCAAGUCGAACGGUAACAGGCCGCAAGGUGCUGACGAGUGGCGAACGGGUGAGUAAUGCAUCGGAACGUGCCCAGUCGUGGGGGAUAACGCAGCGAAAGCUGUGCUAAUACCGCAUACGAACUAUGGAUGAAAGCGGGGGACCGUAAGGCCUCGCGCGAUUGGAGCGGCCGAUGUCAGAUUAGGUAGUGGGUGGGGUAAAGGCUCACCAAGCCAACGAUCUGUAGCUGGUCUGAGAGGACGACCAGCCACCCUGGGACAGAGACGCGGCCCAGACGCCUACGGGAGGCAGCAGUGGGGAAUUUUGGACAAUGGGCGCAAGCCUGAUCCAGCAAUGCCGCGUGCAGGAAGAAGGCCUUCGGGUUGUAAACUGCUUUUGUACGGAACGAAAAGGUUUGGGUUAAUACCCUGGGCCGAGGACGGUACCGUAAGAAUAAGCACCGGCUAACUACGUGCCAGCCGCCGCCGUAA
rnacentral:rRNA from 1 species